rnacentral:rRNA from 1 species
GACGAACGCUGGCGGCGUGCCUAACACAUGCAAGUCGAGCGGUGAACCGGGCUUCGGUCCGGGGAUCAGCGGCGAACGGGUGCGUACCACGUGGGCAACCUGCCCCUCACUCUGGGAUAACCCCGGGAAACCGGAGCUAAUACCGGAUACUCCCGCGGAACCCCCUGGCUCCGCGAGGAAAGGUCCGCCGGUGAGGGAUGGGCCCGCGGCCUAUCAGCCUGUUGGUGGGGUAACGGAUCACCAAAGCGACGACGGGUAGCUGGUCUGAGAGGACGACCAGCCACACCGGGACUGAGAUACGGCCCAGACUCCUACGGGAGGCAGCAGUGGGGAAUCUUGCGCAAUGGGCGAAAGCCUGACGCAGCGACGCCGCGUGGGGGAUGAAGGCCUUCGGGUCGUAAACCCCUUUCGGCAGGGACGAAGCGAACGUGACGGUACCUGCAGAAGAAGCCCCGGCUAACUACGUGCCAGCAGCCGCCGUAAAAC